rnacentral:lncRNA from 1 species
CCCGCGUCCAGCCCCUUGCCCGUCAUUCCUCCCCUGAUUCCCUUUCCCUCCCCACCCACCACCUCUUCCUCUCUCCCCUCCUUCCACCGCCGUCCCCGCCCGCACCUUCCCAACUCUCAGACCCCUGUCCUUCCCCCGCGGAGACGCGGCUCCUGCUGCGCCUUGUUGAAUUCCAGACGCGCCGUCCAGGGCCGGCCCCUCCCGCGGUGCCUUCUCGACGCCCCCGCCCCCAACUGGGGCGGCGUCCGGGGGUCCCUCACCUGGCGGGCGAGGCGGCGCGUCCCGGGGGUCGGGGGGCUCCCAUGUGCGCGGUGGAUCCGAGGUUGGAGCGCGAACCCUGGCGCGCGGGGCCCCGCGAGUGCUCGCGCCUCCGCCGAGCGGAACUGCGCGAUCUGGAGCGCGGGGCCUCGCUUUAAUCCGCUUAAUCUCCGGGGAUUUAGGGCCUCCUGGAGGUGCAGCUUGGAAAAUGCCCGAGGCAGGGGAAUCCAGUAAAGACCAAUGUGAGCCGACACAGAAGAACACACGGCGAAUGGACACAGAGAGCAGACAACGGGGGUGGGGGGAGAGGGGAAGGGGAGAGAAGUUUUAAAAAAAAGACUAAAGGAGUUGGCUUUGGCUUACUUCCCUUAAUUCUUCUGAGCCUGGAGAUUCAGUGUGAGUCACCCUGGGGCAAUUUGAGGAGAGGCUCUUGAGGAUAAAACCAGGCGUUGUGUGUUAGUCUUGGAGACUUGGGGGGUGGGAGGGUUACUUGACUUUUCACUCUAGAGAUGGAAAGAACGGUUCAAAGGGAUUCUCAGAGGGAAGCGGAUUUGGCUCAAUGGACAGAGCGUCCACCUACCACAUGGGAGGUCCAGGGUACAAACCCAGGGCCUCCUGACCCAUGUAGAGAGCUGGCCCACGCGCAGUGCUGAUGUGCACAAGGAGUGCCGUGCUAAACGGGGGUGUCCCCCGUGUAGGGGAGCCCCAGGCACAAGGAGUGCGCCCCGCAUGGAGAGCCACCCCGCGCGAAAAGAGCGCAGCCCACCCAGGAGUGGUGACGCACACACA